rnacentral:rRNA from 1 species
UACGUAGGGUGCAAGCGUUUAAUCGGAAUUACUGGGCGUAAAGCGUGCGCAGGCGGCUAUGCAAGACAGAUGUGAAAUCCCCGGGCUCAACCUGGGAACUGCAUUUGUGACUGCAUGGCUAGAGUGCGGCAGAGGGGGAUGGAAUUCCGCGUGUAGCAGUGAAAUGCGUAGAUAUGCGGAGGAACACCGAUGGCGAAGGCAAUCCCCUGGGCCUGCACUGACGGCUCAUGCACGAAAGCGUGGGGAGCAAACAGG